rnacentral:rRNA from 1 species
UGGGGAAUUUUGGACAAUGGGCGCAAGCCUGAUCCAGCCAUGCCGCGUGCGGGAAGAAGGCCUUCGGGUUGUAAACCGCUUUUGUCAGGGAAGAAAUCUUCUGAGUUAAUACCUCGGGAGGAUGACGGUACCUGAAGAAUAAGCACCGGCUAACUACGUGCCAGCAGCCGCGGUAAUACGUAGGGUGCAAGCGUUAAUCGGAAUUACUGGGCGUAAAGCGUGCGCAGGCGGUUUUGUAAGACAGAGGUGAAAUCCCCGGGCUCAACCUGGGAACUGCCUUUGUGACUGCAAGGCUUGAGUGCGGCAGAGGGGGAUGGAAUUCCGCGUGUAGCAGUGAAAUGCGUAGAUAUGCGGAGGAACACCGAUGGCGAAGGCAAUCCCCUGGGCCUGCACUGACGCUCAUGCACGAAAGCGUGGGGAGCAAACAGGAUUAGAUACCCCUGGUAGUCCACGCCCUAAACGAUGUCAACUGGUUGUUGGGAAGGUUCCUUCUCAGUAACGUAGCUAACGCGUGAAGUUGACCGCCUGGGGAGUACGGCCGCAAGGUUGAAACUUAAAUGAAUUGACGGGGUCAUAGCUG